rnacentral:rRNA from 1 species
UACAGAGGCCCCAAGCAUUAUCCGGAAUCACUGGGCGUAAAGGGUGCCAAGGCGGUCGUAUUAGUCUCCCGUUAAAUCUGUGGGCUCAACCUACAGCUCGCGGGAGAUACGGUACGACUCGAGGUUGGAAGAGGUGCGUGGAACUCACGGUGUAGGGGUGAAAUCCGUUGAUAUCGUGGGGAACACCAAAGGCGAAGGCAGCGCACUGGUCCAAAUCUGACGCUCACGCACGAAAGCCAGGGUAGCGAACGGG